AAACGUAGGAGGCGAGCGUUAUCCGGAUUUACUGGGCGUAAAGGGCAAGUAGGCGGCAGCAAAAGUUGGGCGUGACAGCUCUCGGCUUAACUGAGAGAGGUCGUCCAAAACUAGGCAGCUAGAGGGCAGGAGAGGGAAGUAGAAUUCCUAGUGUAGCGGUGGAAUGCUCAGAUACUAGGAGGAAUACCAGUGGCGAAGGCGACUUCCUGGCCUGUACCUGACGCUGAGAGGCGAAAGCUAGGGUAGC
rnacentral:rRNA from 1 species